AACGCACGAGACCUGCGGACCUGCGGAAGGAUCAUUACCGAGUUAGGGUAGUCACUCACUGCCCGACCUCCCAACCCUGUGUCUACCACACUUUGUCGUUGCUUCGGCGGACCGGUUGACCAACUGGUCGUGACCGCCGGGGGCUGGCUCUGUCCCCCCUGGAGAGCGUCCGUCGAUGGCCCAACCACAAAACUCUUGUACCGAAACGUGUCGUCUGAAUUAUAUUUGAGAGAUCAAAAA
rnacentral:misc_RNA from 1 species